UGGGUGAGUGCAGGGGAGUGCACGGAGCUGCUUCAGCCCCGGCGGAACCGACAGCAGAGGGUAGACCCGGGAGCUGCGGCACACCCCGGUCCUCCCCGAGUCUCCUCAAGAGCCCCGACUUGGGGCAGAGAUGCACUCAGCGGCGCUAAGACCGAGGUCCAGCCGCCGCCGCCGCCGCCGCCUCUUCUCACCGCCCCUCCCGCCUCACUCUCAGUCGGUUUCUCCAACUCGCGUCCGGUUCCACUUUCCUCAGUUCCUCAGUCCUCAGCUAUGAGCAGCGGAACAACACAGACGGCGAGGUUUACGGCCCGCAGCCGGCAGGUGGGCAGCACCAGUCAGUUGCCAAACUAAUUCGAAGCCCCUAGAGAUACCCACAUCAGCCCUUCUCUUCUUGCCCCGCCCCUUCCGCUUGUGAUUUGCUUCAGCUUCCGGUCGCUGGGUCUCAGCCCCGACGUGAAGAGCUUGGCAUUGUGGGAUUUCCUUCCUUUCUCGCUCUCCGGCCAUCUUGGCGGCUGCAGUAGGCUGGGGGCGUCCCGCGCCUAAGGCAGGAAGAUGGUGGCCGCAAAGAAGACGAAAAAGUCACUGGAGUCGAUCAACUCUAGGCUCCAACUGGUUAUGAAAAGUGGAAAGUACGUGCUGGGGUACAAGCAGACUCUGAAAAUGAUCCGACACGGCAAAGCGAAACUGGUCAUCCUCGCCAACAACUGCCCAGCCUUGAGGUAAUUGAAAGAACCUGAGUACAUUUGUCGCCCACUGCAAAUUGGUCGUGAGCGAAUAUCCAGGAAUGUGGACUUGCAAUCUGGGUAGCAUAAACUGGGUAUCAUGUAAAAUUUUGUAUUACAGAGGGACACCUGGAGAAUAAUUUAACGGUUGUUGAUUUUUGGCUUUUGAUUUUUCUCCCCCUCGUCAUAUUCUCUCCUCGUAUGAGGUUCUCUUUGGGAGAAAUGCGUGGCAGAAGGGGUAAAAACCAGAGAACGUCCAAGUUUGAGGGCAGCGCAGAAACAUAACUUGUUUGUCCAUGUGUCCUGCCUUUUGGGUCAUUUUUUUUUUUUUUUAAUUUUAAGAUGCUUUAAAAGAGCUUCAUUUUAUGGACUUGUUGUAGUGUAGAAAAGCUAAGAUCAGAGACGUUCAGGCUGGCCUGUGGAGCUGCAGGUUCCCAGUUCACCCAGUUUUUGCUUGCCUCACUGUUUUGAAACUGAAUUUAGUGGGUAUUGUAAAUAAGUUAAAGAAACUUGGACCAUGCAGAAUAUAAGCCCUGUUUUCAGUCCCUUUCCCUUGUUGACUUUCUAUGGUAAUACAUAACCUCACAGCAUUUCAUAUAGUGUCUGUAGGUAAUUGGCAAAGCCUGGAGAGAUCUCUUCCAUCCCAUCCCCUCCCAAAUCUCUGGUCUUAUUCCAAACCUUUCAUGCUUACCUUCUAUAGCAGUGCUUUUCAAACAGUAUGCACAGUCACGAAUGAUCUGGUUUAAAUGCAAUUUCUGAUAUAAUGGAUCUGGAUAGGGGCCCGAGAUUAUGCAUUUUUAACAAGCACCUUUUGGCACUACUUGUCUGCGGAUGCACACUUUGAGUAGUGGCAACAGUUUGUUUUUUGUUUUUUUUAAUGAAUUGAAGGUUUGUUGCAACCCUGCAUUGAAUAAGUCUGUAGGUUACAGUUUUUCAACAGCAUUUGCUCACUUCAUGUCUAUGUCACAUUUUGGUAAUUCUCGAGAUAUUUCAGAUUUUCUUUAUUACUUGUUAUGGUGAUCUGUGAUCUUUGAUGCUGCGACUCCCAGAAGGUUCAGAUGAUGGGUAGCUUUUUAAUUAAUUUAUUUAUUUUUGCAAUAAAGUAUUUUUUAAUUAAUGUAUGUACGUUGGUUUUUUUAGACACAGUGUUGUUUCACACCUAAUAGGCUACAGUAUAGGGUAAACACAACUUCUAUAUACACUGGGAAACCAAAAAAUUCCUGGGACUAGCUUUAUUGCAAUAUUUGAUUUAUUGCAGUGGUCUGGAAUGAAUAUGCAGUAACUGAAGUAUACCUGUAAUAUCACUCUCCAUCUAGGUUUCAGAGCACCAGAGGGUGAUAGAAAUGGCUUAGAAGUUGUCAUGGGAAUUAUAUAAUGUAAAGUGUCUGGCGAUAGUAAAUGCUAAGUAAAUGAUAAUUUUAUUUUGUAUGCUACUCUUUUCCACAAGCACGGGUGUUUACUGGUUGUCCCAUCCCUUGUAAGGGAUCCAAGGAAGGAUGGUUUGUAUUGAAUAAUGGAUAUGUUAAUGUUUUUAAAAGUAAUAACUGGCUUACUGUUUGAAGGCCUUACCAACAUUAGAACUAAUGAGAGAAGUAACAUUUAAUCUGUGUCACUUGGUAUGGUAUUUAUUUACCUUCUUUUGGUUCCCAAAGGAAAUCUGAAAUAGAGUAUUAUGCCAUGUUGGCCAAAACUGGUGUCCAUCACUACAGUGGCAAUAAUAUUGAAUUGGGCACAGCGUGUGGAAAAUACUACAGAGUAUGCACACUUGCUAUCAUUGAUCCAGGUGAUUCUGAUAUCAUUAGAAGCAUGCCAGAACAGACUGGUGAAAAGUAAAUCAUGCACAAUUUUUCUUUAAUAAAACUGGCCAGAGCUUGUUUUAAAAAUACUGUA